CUGAAUCACCACAACCUCGCCCUUGGAUGAUAGCCGAAGCCUUUCGCAUUUUGCCUAGGAUUCCCCGAUGCACGCCUGUCUCUAGCCAAGCCUGUUGAUCUAAGAGGCAGGGUCUCCAAGACUCAGCCAGUAGGGAGAGCUGGGCGAAUGGAUCCAAUCUGAGAUAGUGCUCCUGUGCGGGUUCCAUGGUGACGGCCACACCCACCCCGCUGCGGCCAGAUGUCAUGCGGGUCACCUCACUCCAGGUAUCACUGUCCGGGUCAUAGCAUUCCACACUGUCCAGAAAAGUGUGGCCAUCAUAGCCUCCUGCAGGGAGAAUGAAGAGAAUGGUCACCCCCUCAGAGUGCCCAGCCUACCACGCAAGGCGGCAGAGAACAGAAGGGAAAAGAAGCCCCCUGUUUGCGAUGGAUAGGUUGGAGGUGGAAUGUGGUUCAGUCUAGAGCCCCUGCCUAAACUUCCCAGUGAAGGUGGGGUACAGGGUGGGAAGUGUUGUAAGAGUGGGUGGGGGAGCGGCUUAGUAGUAGAGCUUUGGCCCAGAAUCCCCCAGUGGAGCGGGGCACAAUUAAAGGACACUUGCCAAGCAUUCGGGACUCUCUGGCUUUUAUACUCAGCACCAAAACUUGGAGAAGAAAAGAUAUGGACACUCAAGUGUGGUUUUCACCCUGACCCAGCCUCCAAGGGCCUCACCGAGGACGUAGAUCUUGCCCUGGUGCACAGUAAUCCCCAGCGCACUGCGGUGAUGCCUCAUGGGGGCUACGAAAGUCCAGGUCUCUGUCUCCACGUCGUAGCGUUCCACACUGUUCAACUGGUCCUGCCCAUCGUAGCCCCCUGCUGCAUAGAUACAGUUGUGCAGCACGCAGACCCCUAAAGGAAAGCGCACAGUGGGAGUCACCGUAAGCGUGGUCUGGGGUGGGGGGUGGGGGCAGGGCCACUGGACAAGGGACUUUAGUAGCCACUGCCCUUCCCUCCACCACUGGAGAAGCUGGAGUAGGAGGAUCAGGAGUUCAAAGUCAACCUCAGCGACAUAAGGACUUCGAGGGCAGCCUCAGUCAUGUAACAGAGGGAGGAGGGUAAAGCAAACGCUUCCUCGCUUCCUCGCUGGGCUGGGCUGUCCUCACUCCACCCCCCACUCACCGGCCCCGCUCCGGAUGGUAUUCAUCGGUGUGAUCAUCCGCCACUCAUUCCUCUCUGGAUAGUAACAUUCUGCGGAGUUAAGCCGGUUAGUCCCGUCAAAGCCCCCCACUGCAUACAGCAAGCGGUUGAGCACUGCCACGCCCACGCCAAUCCUCCGUGUCAACAUUGGCGCGACUAGAUGCCACUCGUCCCGCUCUGGCUCAUAUCUGCAAAAGACAUAAUACCCCGUGGUCACCCGUGGUCAACCCUUACACCACGGCCCUCCAUCUGCUUGCACAUUUAUUUUUAGGUUUUUGGUUGGUUGGUUUUUUGUUUGUUUUGAGAUAGAACCCUGCUAUGUAGUUCAAGCUAGCCUUGAACUCUCCGCGAUCUCCUGCUUUAGUCCCCAGUGCUGAGAUGAAGGAUGUGCAGCACCAGGCCUGGCUCCAGAAGUGAGGGGUCAUCAGAAUCCAGGUUCACUGUCAUCAAUUACGACUGACAGCAACAGCAAUUCCCUCUAGCCUAGACGGCUUUACCCCUUAGGGCUGCAGCACCUGUGCACUUCACCCCUAGCAGGACUCAUUGCCUCACACCACAAGAUUUGCUACAGACAUGUGGGGUAGGACAUCCAGGGUCACUAAGUAACAUCUGGGCAGGUGUUCAACUCCAAAUGUCUAACUGGGUCUCCCAGGUGGUUCUCUGAGCAACAUGAUCAGAGAUGGGUGAACAUGCCCCGUUAGCCCAGCAGCGUCCAGUCCAUCCUUGCAUCCUACAGUCCUUGAAGGGGCCACCCUAUUCGCAGACCACACACAUUAGAGCCCCUAGCACAUUUGUUUACAUUUCCAUUUUCAGGCAUGGGCGGGGUUAGCUUGGGGUAGACAGCUGGCCUAGCAAGCAUAGAUUUCUAGGUUCUAUUCCCAGCACUACAAAUACAAAAUUUAAAAUUUUUCUCAUUUUCUU
ensembl:processed_transcript Gm16754 predicted gene, 16754